rnacentral:tRNA from 1 species
GCAGUGGUAGCUCGUCGGGCUCAUAACCCGAAGGUCGGGGGUUCGAAUCCCUCUCCCGCUACCA